ACGGAGAUAUGCGCUUGGUGAGGGAGCUUGCUCCCGAUCCAUUGCAUAUUUUAGUGGCGGACGGGUGAGUAACGCGUGAGCAACCUAUCCUACAGAGGGGGAUAACAACGAGAAAUCGUUGCUAAUACCGCAUAAGGCCACACUGCCGCAUGGCAGAGAGGUAAAAGGAGCAAUCCGCUGUAGGCUGGGCUCGCGUCCCAUUAGAUAGUUGGUGAGGUAAAGGCUCACCAAGUCGGCGAUGGGUAGCCGGACUGAGAGGUUGAACGGCCACACUGGGACUGAGACACGGCCCAGACUCCUACGGGAGGCAGCAGUGGGGAAUAUUGGGCAAUGGGCGAAAGCCUGACCCAGCAACGCCGCGUGAAGGAAGAAGGUCUUCGGAUUGUAAACUUUUGUCCUUGGGGAAGAAAAAAAUGACGGUACCCAGGGAGGAAGCCCCGGCUAACUACGUGCCAGCAGCCGCGGUAAUACGUAGGGGGCGAGCGUUGUCCGGAAUUACUGGGCGUAAAGGGUGCGUAGGCGGCCAAACAAGUCCAAUGUGAAAAGCCCAGGCUCAACCUGGGAGGUGCAUUGGAAACUGUCUGGCUUGAGUGCGGGAGAGGAAAGUGGAAUUCCUAGUGUAGCGGUGAAAUGCGUAGAUAUUAGGAGGAACACCAGUGGCGAAG
rnacentral:rRNA from 1 species